GUGUUCUUCCCAACAGGAGCGGUACCUUAAGUGGAUCAAACAUUGUGGAAGGCCCCACUCCAGCUACAUCUCAAGAAAAUAAAGAAGCAUCUGCUCCAAGGAAGUCGGUUCAUGUUACGAUAAGCUGAGCUUGUCCAAGGCGCUGUGAAGGGUCUUCAGGUCUUCUCUCAUCUGGCUCAGAGCGUUCUGGAUCUUGCUGGGCUGAUCCAGGACCUCCACGCUGCAGGAAGGCUGAUAUCUCCCUGAGCUGCGGGAUGCCGUCCUCCCCGUAGCCGCACUCCUUCUCCAGCUGCUGCAGGCCGUCCAGGAACUGUCUGCAGGCCAGGCUGGGAUAGAUGCUCCUCAGCUGCCGAUCAGCUGGGGACACUCACGGCUCAGGUGUGUACGUGGGCUUGGAGCUGUGGCGGAUGUACUGCGUGGAAUGGAAGACACGGAAGGCGAGUCCGGCCAGGAAGUCCCGGGACGACAGCAGGCCGGCAACCGGGCG